CUGAGUUACUACUCUCAACCCUUUGUGAACUCUUACCUAGUGUUGCUUCGGCAGGUUUUCCCUGGGAGGGAAGUAGCCUUCGGGCAAUCUGCCAGAGGCAUUUUUACUCUGAUUUAUUUUGAAUUCUGAGUUUCUUAAAAAGAAA
rnacentral:misc_RNA from 1 species